UUCCUACCUACACACUUAGCUGCACUUAUAAUAUUGUGGGGCCAAGAGGAGCACCAGGAAAAAUGUAGGAGAAAUAAACUUAAUCGAUGGAAAAAAGAUUAUGAUCAUCAUACGGGGACUACUUCAUUUGCCCAGAUUGAGGAUCAAUUUUGUAGGACAACGAACGCUCCCUUUAUCCCACUACCAGAACUGCACAGGAGAACGAUGGUUCAAUUUAAGAAGGGGUACGAUGACGAUGAGACUAAGAAACAAAAGCUAGAAUUGGCCAAGAAAA